GGAAAAACCUUCUUGGCGAGGUCAAUCGAUUUGUACUUGGUUGAUAACCAACGGAGCAGUGGUGUAGUGCUUGCAGGGAUUUGAAUUGUGUCCAAUUAGAAGCAAAUCGUCCACGUUGAGUUCUCCACCAAUCGAAUUACUCAUACCUAAUGAUAGAUCGGGCUAGUGCUACAUCAAGUGGUAUAAGGAUUCCAGGUUGCCUGUGAGGUAUAUUAUUGUGUCCCCUUUAGACUCAUUUCGUUUGUGUUCCCUAGAGUCCACAAAAUGCCCAAAAACACAUGCACUUUUUAGCCUUUGCAAU
rnacentral:lncRNA from 1 species